GAUGAACGCUGGCGGCGUGCCUAAUACAUGCAAGUCGAGCGAACGGACGAGAAGCUUGCUUCUCUGAUGUUAGCGGCGGACGGGUGAGUAACACGUGGAUAACCUACCUAUAAGACUGGGAUAACUUCGGGAAACCGGAGCUAAUACCGGAUGAUAUUUUGAACCGCAUGGUUCAAAAGUGAAAGACGGUCUUGCUGUCACUUAUAGAUGGAUCCGCGCUGCAUUAGCUAGUUGGUAAGGUAACGGCUUACCAAGGCAACGAUGCAUAGCCGACCUGAGAGGGUGAUCGGCCACACGGGAGCGGAGACACGGUCCAGACUCCUACGGGAGGCAGCAGUAGGGAAUCUUCCGCAAUGGGCGAAAGCCUGACGGAGCAACGCCGCGUGAGUGAUGAAGGUCUUCGGAUCGUAAAACUCUGUUAUUAGGGAAGAACAUAUGUGUAAGUAACUGUGCACAUCUUGACGGUACCUAAUCAGAAAGCCACGGCUAACUACGUG
rnacentral:rRNA from 1 species